rnacentral:rRNA from 1 species
CCUACGGGAGGCAGCAGUGAGGAAUAUUGGUCAAUGGGCGUAAGCCUGAACCAGCCAAGUCGCGUGAGGGAUUAAGUUUCUAUGGAUCGUAAACCUCUUUUAUAAGGGAAUAAAGUGUGGGACGUGUCCUAUUUUGUAUGUACCUUAUGAAUAAGGAUCGGCUAACUCCGUGCCAGCAGCCGCGGUAAUACGGAGGAUCCGAGCGUUAUCCGGAUUUAUUGGGUUUAAAGGGGGCGUAGUCGGCCUUUUAAUUCAGCGGUGAAAGUCGUGGGCUAAACCAUUGAAUUGCCGUUGAAACUGGUGGUCUUGAGUAUGUUUGAGGCAGGCGGAAUGCGGGGUGUAGCGGUGAAAUGCUUAGAUAUCACGCAGAACCCCGAUUGCGAAGGCAGCCGGCCAAGCCAUGACUGACGCUGAUGCACGAAAGCGUGGGGAUCAAACAGGAUUAGAUACCCUUGUAGUC